ensembl:lncRNA
GAAAAUAUUAUCCUCGGUUAAUCUUUGCUCUACAAACAAAAAGAAAAAGAAAGCAGUGAGAAAUGUGUUAUGAUAUCUUCUUUUGUUCAGCUGAAAACAACAACAGGAAUAAUUUGUUAUGUGAGAGAUUUAAAAGCGGCGUCUCAUGAACUGGGAUUGUGGGUUCUACGUCUCUUUAACGGUUAAUAGAUUUUCAAAAUAGUCAAUCAAUUAACCCUUAUAGAAGCACAAUGUACAAAGUGUUGUAGGAGAAAAGGAGUAUAAAACAGGAAUCCUAUUGACAGGGAAAUGCAGGUAAAGCAGGAUAGAUACGCCUAGAUUAGCUGAGGAUUUUAGAGACUUCCACUGACUGACAUGCAGUGAUGGGCAGAUGGAGUGAGAACUGAGACAGAGAUUUAAAACAACAGCGUCAGCCAGUCAGCUGCAAACAGGGUUAGAGGGUUCAGGUUCAUGUUAUAGAAGUGAAGCUGACCCCUGCAGAAACCCCUGUGGGAGUUGACAAACAGAGCUAAUACACAUGGAAAUCCAGAGUGCAGGGAUUGGCUGGAUUAUGUAUGAUUUCUAAUGUCUGGCACCCCCCCCCCCCUUUUUUUUUUUUUUUUUGCAGCAUCACAACCAUGACUGUAUAUUUCCAAGUGACCGUCAUUUUCUUUCAUCCAUUCUGGAGUGCUAAUUUUUAUUUCACACAGCAUCCUCUCCACACCUCUCCCGCACAUGACUCCACUGUUCUCUGCCUGCCUUGCUUCUCAUCACUCCCUCCAUCUGCGCCUUUUUUCCUGCUUUCUGUUCUUCCUUCCAUCCAUCUGGCCAGCUCUUUUCCCUCUCUCACUCUCUCUCUCUGCUCUUUACCCAGAGAGUUCAAAGUCAACAAAGAAAUGACCACAAAUAAACCUGUCUCCAGACUGCUUAGAAACAGCACACAUCAAAGUAAAAAUAAAUGCACGAUUUCAUAGAAAACCGAUGAGAGGAAAGGUUUUGGUAUGAUGGCGUUAUAGAUAUAGUAGACGGAGGGUGCAGAAGUCAUAAUGAUAAUUGUUUUGGUUUAUAACGAGGUCUUCUUUGAGCGCUAAGUUUAGUUUAGGGAGGAGUGAUGUAGGGCUUUUAGGGAAGGGCCAAAAGGCACAUGCUGUGAAGAAACUGUGAAACAGGUUGUGUCACAAUAACCAUUUUAUCUCGAUUAUCUUCUUUUCACCCUCUUUAGAAAGCAAAACUGUAGCUGAACGUAAAACGUGAUUAAUUACACAGACUUAAUGGAAAGAGGCACAGGUCUAAUGAGAGACGCAGAAAGAGCUGUAGAUUAAGGAGACAGGUGUUUGUUUUUGCUUUUUUUUUUUUACCAGAAUAGAGAAGUGUAGCAGGCAAGGUGAAAAGGGG